AUGGAAAAACUCAGAAUUAAUGAAGAAAUAAAACUUCUAAAAUGGCAGCAGGAAAGAAUUGACAAGGAGCUUGAUAGACUCCAAGCAAAGGCUACCAAGAAACCUCACGAAGUGAAACAGGACUUUGAGAAGUUCCUACAUGAACUGCGUUCUGAAGCUGAAAUUGAGAGAGAAUGUGUGGCAUCACUGUCGUCGUCAUCAUCAUCAUCAACAGAGAACUACAACUUUGAGGAAGAAGAGUACUAA
rnacentral:lncRNA from 1 species